rnacentral:rRNA from 1 species
UAGAGUUUGAUCAUGGCUCAGGAUGAACGCUAGCGACAGGCUUAACACAUGCAAGUCGAGGGGCAGCGGGGAGGUAGCAAUACUUCCGCCGGCGACCGGCGCACGGGUGAGUAACACGUAUGGAACCUGCCCGUAGCAGGGGGAUAAACGGAAGAAAUUCCGUCUAAUACCGCGUAAUAACUCCGAGAGGCAUCUCAUGGAGUUUAAAGGGUAACACCGGCUACGGAUGGCCAUGCGGCGCAUUAGCUAGUUGGCGGGGUAACGGCCCACCAAGGCGACGAUGCGUAGGGGUUCUGAGAGGAAGGUCCCCCACACUGGUACUGAGACACGGACCAGAUUCCUACGGGAGGCAGCAGUGAGGAAUAUUGGUCAAUGGGCGCGAGCCUGAACCAGCCAAGUCGCGUGAGGGAAGACGGUCCUAUGGAUUGUAAACCUCUUUAGGCGGGGAGCAAUGCCGGGCACGCGUGCCCGGAGGGAGAGUACCCGCAGAAUAAGCAUCGGCUAACUCCGUGCCAGCAGCCGCGGUAAUACGGAGGAUGCGAGCGUUAUCCGGAUUUAUUGGGUUUAAAGGGUGCGUAGGCGGAUUUUUAAGUCAGCGGUAAAAUGUCCGGGCUCAACCCGGGCCGGCCGUUGAAACUGGGGAUCUUGAGUGGGCGAGAAGUAUGCGGAAUGCGUGGUGUAGCGGUGAAAUGCAUAGAUAUCACGCAGAACUCCGAUUGCGAAGGCAGCAUACCGGCGCCCGACUGACGCUGAGGCACGAAAGCGUGGGGAUCGAACAGGAUUAGAUACCCUGGUAGUCCACGCAGUAAACGAUGAAUGCUAGUUGUCCGGUUCUUUGGGACUGGGUGACACAGCGAAAGCGUUAAGCAUUCCACCUGGGGAGUACGCCGGCAACGGUGAAACUCAAAGGAAUUGACGGGGGCCCGCACAAGCGG